UGAGUGAUGAAGGCCUUCGGGUUGUAAAGCUCUGUCGGGAGGGACGAAAGGGAAACCUUGACGGUACCUCGCAAGAAAGCACCGGCUAACUCUGUGCCAGCAGCCGCGGUAAUACAGAGGGUGCAAGCGUUGCUCGGAUUUACUGGGCGUAAAGCGUACGCAGACGGUGAGGAAGGUCGGAUGUGAAAGCCCUGGGCUCAACCCAGGAACUGCAUCCGAAACCCCCUCGCUAGAGUAUAGGAGAGGGAAGCGGAAUUCCUGGUGUAGAGGUGAAAUUCGUAGAUAUCAGGAGGAACAUCUGCGGCGAACGCAGCUUCCAUGGCCUAUUACUGC
rnacentral:rRNA from 1 species